UACGUAGGGGGGCUAGCGUUGUCCGGAUUUAUUGGGCGUAAAGAGCGUGUAGGCGGCUCGGUAAGUCCGCUCUGAAAGCCCGGGGCUCAACCCCGGGAGGCGGGCGGAUACUGUCGGGCUAGAGUCCGGAAGAGGCGAGUGGAAUUCCUGGUGUAGCGGUGGAAUGCGCAGAUAUCAGGAGGAACACCGGUGGCGAAGGCGGGUCUCUGGGCAGUAACUGACGCUGAGGAGCGAAAGCGUGGGGAGCGAACAGG
rnacentral:rRNA from 1 species